UUCAAAUUCUAAGAUGAGUAAUAAGAGAUCGGUCGGGAGAGUAUUGAGUCUAGAUGAUGAUGAAGCAGAAGAUAAGUUUUACAGGCUCAAGGUUCUUUUACCAAACAGCACAAGUGUGACACUCGCACUUACCAACCCUGAACCUAGAAUGUCAAUGAAUAAUUUUGUUAACUUGGUGAAAGAGGAAUAUGAGAAAAGCCUGAACAAAUGUGUAUUGUCCGGUAAGAAGAGGAAGCGGGUUGAUUGGAAUUUGGCUGUCAAAUAUUAUCUCGAGUUUAACGGCGAAAAGAUUAAAGAAAUCGUUCGAUUUGACAAGUUUAAGCCUGAUUUGUGCAAUGUACUCCGU